rnacentral:rRNA from 1 species
AUUGAACGCUGGCGGCAGGCCUAACACAUGCAAGUCGAGCGGAUGAGUGGAGCUUGCUCCAUGAUUCAGCGGCGGACGGGUGAGUAAUGCCUAGGAAUCUGCCUGGUAGUGGGGGACAACGUUUCGAAAGGAACGCUAAUACCGCAUACGUCCUACGGGAGAAAGCAGGGGACCUUCGGGCCUUGCGCUAUCAGAUGAGCCUAGGUCGGAUUAGCUAGUUGGUGGGGUAAUGGCUCACCAAGGCGACGAUCCGUAACUGGUCUGAGAGGAUGAUCAGUCACACUGGAACUGAGACACGGUCCAGACUCCUACGGGAGGCAGCAGUGGGGAAUAUUGGACAAUGGGCGAAAGCCUGAUCCAGCCAUGCCGCGUGUGUGAAGAAGGUCUUCGGAUUGUAAAGCACUUUAAGUUGGGAGGAAGGGCAGUAAGUUAAUACCUUGCUGUUUUGACGUUACCGACAGAAUAAGCACCGGCUAACUCUGUGCCAGCAGCCGCCGUAAGAC